AUGUUAUGUCUGUGAGUGCGUAAUGAGGUGUUGAUUUGCGUGAUGUGUUGUAUCUCACCGGACGGAAAGUUUAUAGCGCUGAGUGUGGUUUUACAGCGUAACAUUCACAGAGGUGAAAACAGUAUCUUUCAUACAUUUCGUUUAUCCACUGCGCCUGUGUUUUGUGUUCAUGGUAACAUUGGAACUGUGUAAAGUUGUGAUUUACCUGUAGAAAAUGAUGGACAUGCCAGCAUCAAGCGAUAUUAUGAUAAUUGGAGGGAACUCACAUCCAGAGCUUGCAAAUUUAGUCGCUAGCCGCCUAGGGGUUAAACCUGCAGGAUGUGCAGUGUACCACAAAACUAAUCGAGAGACCAUGGUGGAGAUUGGAGACUCUGUUCGAGGCAAAGACAUCUACAUUCUGCAGACAGGAACCAAGGAUGUGAACAAUAACAUAAUGGAAUUGUUGAUCAUGGCGUAUGCCUGCAAAACAUCCUCUGCAAAGAGCAUUGUUGGUGUUAUUCCUUACCUUCCAUACAGUAAGCAGUGCAAGAUGAGAAAGAGAGGAUGUAUUGUAAGCAAAUUGUUGGCUAAGAUGAUGUGCAAGUCAGGUCUCUCACAUGUCAUCACAAUGGAUUUACAUCAGAAAGAAAUUCAGGGAUUCUUUGACUGCCCUGUUGAUAACUUGCGUGCCUCACCCUUUCUUCUUCAGUAUAUACAGGAAUGUAUACCUGAUUACCGCAAUGCUGUGAUAGUGGCUCGUAAUCCUGGGUCAGCAAAGAAAGCAACAUCGUAUGCAGAACGUCUGCGACUAGGCAUUGCAGUCAUUCAUGGAGAACAGAAAGAAGCAGAAAGUGAUAUGGUGGAUGGAAGAUAUUCUCCUCCAACUGUUCCUCGAUCUCGCACAAUGGAUGUUGGUGUGGGGGUACCUGCCCAUCCGGCCAAGGAGAAGCCUCCUAUAAAUGUAGUGGGUGAUGUUGGUGGACGAAUCGCCAUCAUGGUGGAUGACAUGGUUGAUGACGUGCAAUCAUUUGUAGCUGCUGCUGAAGUUCUGAAGGAGCGUGGGGCAUACAAAAUUUAUGUCCUUGCCACCCAUGGACUGCUUUCUUCAGAUGCACCACGACUCAUUGAAGAUUCACCAAUAGAUGAGGUUGUGGUGACAAAUACAAUUCCUCAUGAGUUACAAAAGAUGCAGUGCCACAAGAUCAAGACUGUGGAUAUUAGUGUCCUCCUCUCAGAGGCAAUUCGUCGCAUCCACAACAAAGAAUCUAUGUCUUACUUAUUCAAGAAUGUCACACUGGAGGACUGAAUGGGCUCAUAUUUGAUGAUAUAAAGUAGGAAUAUGGAUAAUCUAUAAUAAAUUUAUAUUGGAGAGUUCGAAAUGAAGAUUUCAACAUAGCUGAAGGCAGAUAAACAAACAGACUAUCCACAUUCAUGAAACCAGCAUACAGUUUUUAAUGUAAUUGGCAGUUUUGGUAGACUGUGAAUACUGUGUUAAAUUUUAAAAUCUGGAACACAACGAGAACAGUGAAAAGAUUUUCACAUAUCAAUUUUCUAGAUACUUCAGUCGGAAUAUUUCAGAUACAUACUCAUGUAAAACAGCCACUUUUUUUUCUUCUGGUUAUCUUGACCUUGUGUUAAUGUUUACUUCUAUUGCAUGACAAAAGUUGUUUCAUACUUGGGGGUGUGUGCGGUAUGCAAUAAAAGAGUGAACAUAAUUGUUUGUGACUGUUACUAAAUUCUUGAAUUGGUAAACAAUUUGAAGCAUGUAGUUGAUUAAAGAAGAUAACCAUUUUGCUGCAUAAGAGAAAUCUUUGCAUUUCAAGCAAACAUCCUAAAAUAACUUCUCUCAAAUUCUAUUCUUAUUUUGCAUCAAGUUGAAUUUGAAUUGUGAAGUUUCUGUUUCUCAAUUUUUUUAAUUUUUUGUAUUCUGUUAAACAAUAUUUCUGUAAAUUAUUUUACAUUUUUGCAUGUGUUUGCUGCAUUUAGAAUCAUAAUGUCUAUCAAAUGGGAAAAAGCAUCUUUGCUUUUCUGUGUGUCAUUAGUUUAUAAAGACUCAUGAAUUACUGAACACUGCUAAAAUCACAAAGCCAAUAGACUGGCCAGUGCUUACUUUCAGGAGAGACAACUCACUGAGAACAGAAAAAUGUACUCACAUGUUUUGGAACCAAACAUUUGUUCCUCUAGGUUUAUAGAGAAAUUAAGUUGGGGAAGUUGGACAUUACAUUUGUGAGGACAAAAGCUGACCUCAGCAAGUGGGUUUAUCUUAACUUAUGGUCUCAGUUAUAGACCACCCCACUCCUCUCUGAUCUCCAUUUUCACAGUAUUGUUUUGUAUUUUAAGUGUUUCUACUGGCAGUACUCAAAGCUGUGUCUCCUGAAGGUGAGUACUGGGCAGCCUUUCUCUCUCUUUGUGAUUUCAACAACUUUGUGAACUGAUUGUUUUAUACAAAUUACUGAACUUUAAUUUGGUGUUGCUAUAUGGGAAGGAGAAUAUUGUGGUUGUAUCAUCUACUUUAAAUGAUUUAUUUGUGAAGCCUGUCUUGGAAGUUUGGAGCAAAUACCAGUAUUGUUAAUCUGCAACUGUAGAUCAGUGCGUAGUAAUAACUUGAAUGCAUGCAGCCUCCACAUUGAUUUCCGUGUAAACUCUGUUGUAUACUGAAGGGGGGGAAAAAAGGUCAUAUUCAGCCUUUAAUGCUGCGACCUUUCCGUAAAUCUCAUUAAAGUUUAUAAAAGAGUUUUUUGAAGUAUGAAUAUCAUAAUCAUUUUAAUUGACUUUGCAUAUGUGAUCAACAGAUCAAUUAAAUGUAGAUAUUGUCACACUGCUUGGCAUAUAAAACUUAUCUUGUACUGUAUUAAAUUCCUUUGUUAGGUACUUAUAUUGGAAAUGCUUUCAGCAGUAAACUCAGUGGGUGAAGGCUAAAGGUAUUGUUGAGUUAUUAUCCUUACAUGUAUGUGAUAAAUGGUUGUAAACAGUUUUCUGUUUAUUUCUGCCAAAAAUUUUGACUGCAAAAUCUACAGUAUUCCUAUUUUGUUUUCAGUAUUAUUUGUAUUAAAACUGGUAAUUGGAAGAUAUUCACUAAAAUAAAAUUUUCUGCCUUUUGAUAGUAAUUGAAAUCUAGAUUGUGAGGGACAAAUUAAAGAAUUAGACAGAAACUUACCCAGUACGGUAGCAUCUGUGUUACACAGAAGGUGUACUAUCAGUUCAAAAUGUUUUUAUGUGGUACGGGAAAUUAUUGGUGCAGUAUUAUAAAUAUGGAACCAAUUUUGAAUAUAGCAGAUCCAUUCUGUUGAACUGAGCUGACAUCCAGAAUAAAACUCUCAAAAUUUUGCAUACAUUGUGUAAUGCAAACUUUAAAAACGUCUUUUUUUGUCAGGUGUGUGGUGUGCAAACUACAAUAAAAUCUCUGACGGGGAAUCUCAAAUUUAAGAAAAUGUUAUUGUGACUGGUAUUUUCUCAAAUUGUAUGGAAAUGAAAGAACGUGUAUGUGUGAAUCAGAUUUGGCGUGUAAAUAAAUAAGGAAAUAAAAACAUCUCUUCAUUUGCAAACUUA
rnacentral:misc_RNA from 1 species